CCUACGGGGGGCAGCAGUGGGGGAUAUUGCACAAUGGGGGAAACCCUGAUGCAGCGACGCCGCGUGGGUGAAGAAGCGCCUCGGUGCGUAAAGCCCUGUCAGCAGGGAAGAAAAUGACGGUACCUGAAGAAGAAGCCCCGGCUAACUACGUGCCAGCAGCCGCGGUAAUACGUAGGGGGCAAGCGUUAUCCGGAUUUACUGGGUGUAAAGGGGGCGCAGACGGCGAUGCAAGCCAGGAGUGAAAGCCCGGGGCCCAACCCCGGGACUGCUCUUGGAACUGCGUGGCUAGAGUGCAGGAAGGGCAG
rnacentral:rRNA from 1 species